AGUUUGUACAAAGAAUAUUAAGAAUUAUGAAAAAUUGCCUAAAUUUAUAUUUUAGUGAAAUGAAAAAAGGCACUUUCCAUUGAAGAUAAGGCAGGUAUUUCCAUAAAAAGUUUGGUUUUUAUUCAUUAAUGUGUUAAUUCUUUAGGGCUUAAUUGGUGGUUUAUGCAAUUAGAUUUGUUUUUAAAAUUAGAGAGUUCCUCUCAUUAAAACCAGCAGUCUCAGAUAUAUCUUUGAGAGAAUCCUAUCCCUGGAGUAUAGUUUUGUUCUCUUGAUAUACCUACAGAGAAUAGGCAAAAAUAUAACCCAUCAUGUUUGUUGGGAGAAAACAUUGUCCUUUUUGGUAAAAAUGACCUGUACUUCCAAUUUUAUAAAAAUGGCAUUCUUAUGUACCAAUCCUGACACUUGUGAACAGGAUUAUGGACCAAAAAAACCCCACCUCAUAUAUGGACAUCCCGGGAUAGAUCUCGUCAUUUCUCCACAAUGGAGACAACUCAGGCUUAAACAGUCUUCCUUUUAAGUUCAGACUCCCUCUGCUGUGCUGCUGUAACACCGCUCUGAUCUCAGUUUUUUUCCCUUCAUCUGAGUGUGCCGCUUUAGGCACGUUACUGUCCACCACCGAGCUUUAAAGUUUGUGUUUCUUCUGAGAAUCUGCUGGGAACUUCACAUGAAUUGGAUUUUCAGUAAUCAAAAUCUGUCGACCUUCCUUUUAGGACAGCCUGAGGAUUGUGUGUGUGAGAGCCAGGGCAUGAGUGUAUGUGUAUGUAGCCGAGCUGAGCAUGCCAUGUUACCACACCUUCUGCAAGCUUCCCUUAGCAAUUCAAUAGAGCAGUUUAGCCCAUAAUGUCAGAGAGCAGGUAAUCCAAAUAUCUGAAUUCUGUAAGGAAAAGGUAAGACUGAAUUUCUCCUCUUCCAGCCAAAGGCCCAGUAAUAAUUCUAAGCAUCUAAACAGGGAAAAAUUGCAUUCUUAAUGCUUCAGAGUAACAGCCGUGUUAGUCUGUAUUCGCAAAAAGAAAAGGAGUACUUGUGGCACCUUAGAGACUAACCAAUUUAUUUGAGCAUAAGCUUUCGUGAGCUACAGCUCACUUCAUCGGAUGCAUACUGUGGAAAAACAGAAGUAAUGUAAUUCGGAAAUCCUAAUUUGUGAAUUUUAUGAAAUGUUAAAAAGGGAAAAACAUUAAUAAAUGAUAUUAUUUCUUUUA